GGAGGAGGUUGUCGGCGGUCUUUACCCAUUUCCAGGGUCAGCUGCUGGGGUUUCCUCGGGAUCCCGUGCUUGUCCUUGGGUCAGGCCUCGGUUGUCCCUCCCUAGCGCUGGAGGGCAGCUCAGCUGCUUGCGGGGGGGCGUUGCCCGUGCUGUAGCUGUCUCUGCUGACGGCUAUAGGGCGCCCUCAUAUCGCGCCAGUGGGCAGCCGCACCCUCUCAGGAUGGAGGGGGGGCUCUUGGUGUAUUCCCGUGGGUGGGGGUGCGCGGGGUGUAACUGGAUCUCAGUGGUGUGUUGCUGCUCCCCGGGGAUGCUGGGUACUUUCCCAUCGUUUUGGGCCCAGAAAUAACUCGGGGGGUGAGAGAUCGUUGUCCUAACAGGGCUUGUGUAACCCCAUCUGCUGGCCUGUUUCCCUCGAUCUGCAUGGAGGGGAGGAUGGAGUAAAUUGGUGUAAUGGAGGGCCUGUCUGGUCUGCUCCACACCCCGGGCUGUGCUGCUGGUGGUCUAUUCUGCACACAGAUUGGUAUUGUUAUCUGUGUGAGUUGUGUAGGGAGUGUAAUCAUCCAUCCCUUCCCACCAAGGGAUGUUGAGUUGCCAUAUGCCUCCAUGUUUAUGAUAAUCACUGUUAUAAUUUUACUUCUUGUGAGGGGGCUCAGAUAAACUUCUUACAUGGUUGCAGUGUCUACACAGGUGCUCUUGAAUGAUAACAAAUGGGACAGCAGAAGGUUGGGUGCUUUGAAAUAUUACUAGUCUCCAUUCACUUCAUCAGGCUGACGUGGGAUCAUGAAGUUGAACUUCUCUAAGAGCCCCAGAUACCCAGAGGGGCUUUGCCUAUCUGGCCAGGACCAGAGGGUGCUAAUCCUAGCCUCUAUGCCUACCUAGGCUAAGCCAGGGAGUUGUGAGGUCAGCAUGCAACUGCAUCUUCCCCUUUUUGGGACUUUGAAGCUUUUCAAGCUAUCUGAGUACUUGGCAAACAACAAACCCUUUCUUGAAGUCACCACUUGCCUAGCCAAGAAACAAAAAAAAAAAUUGUGUCCUGGAAAAUUGGAAGUUUGUUGAAAAAUGAAGUGAUUUAUUAGUUUUUUAAAUCUCCGACUUUCUAACCAAUUUCAUAAAGUUGGGGAUGGUGGUCCUGAUUGUGAAUGAUGGAGGUUUGGAGUGUCCAUGCACAAAACUAGAAUUAAUGCAAAGUGAAAGGUGGGGGUUAUAGUGGAUCACAAAUUGAAUGAGUCAGUAAAGUGAUGCAGGUGCAAAAAGAGGCUAAAAUCGUUCAGGUGUAUUAACAAGAGUAUAUGGGCACCACACUUAAGGAAAGAUAAGGGUAUUUUUGUUGCCCUUUAGAACAAUAUAACAACUUUCUCUGAUGAUGAUGAGAUGCGCAUAUGAUUGUACAGCACAUUUGUAAAGGGCAGGUGACAGUGAUAUCUAUGGCCCUUACUGAAAUGAGAGCAUUUAAUUUCUAAACAAGCCACGUAUGGAAAUAAAUGAACUUAACUCUGUCUUGUUGUGACAUUAUGCAAUAACUACAGUUAUGAUUAAGGUAUUUUGGUUUUGGUCCCAGAUGAGUAUUGUCCUGCUAAACCCAGGGUUGUGAGUUCAAUCCUCGAGGAGGCCAUUUAGGGAUCUGAGGCAAAAAUCUGUCUGGGGAUUGGUCUUGCUUUGAGCAAGGACUAGAUGACCUCGUGAGGUCCCUCCCAACCCUGAUAUUCUAUGAUUAGAUUAAACUGAUUUUUUAAAAGACAUGUUAGAAUUUUUCCCUUUAUGGUGUCAGCAGAGAGCAGAAUUAAGGUUAUUUCGGUGCCUUAACUGUGUAUUUCCACUCCUUAACAGAGCUGGUCAUAAAAAUUCCAAUAAAACAUCUUUUCAUCAGUAUUUGCUGAUUCAUCAAAAACAAAACAUUCCAUUAAGGCAGUUCAAUUCCAACAAAGUUCUGAUGAAACUCAGGGAAGGUUCUGACAGAAAAACCUGACUGGCUUCCUACUAGCGCACCCACCUGGCCACUCAGCAGCCCAUCUGGUGGGGCUACAAAGGAGCCCGGACUUCUUGACUCCUGAGCAGCUUGCAUGGCUCCUAGCUCAUUGGCAGCCUGAGCUGUAGGUUGAUUUCCUGAGUUUAUAAUGCUUGAUUUUGGGACAAUUACAGCACAUCCCUCUAAUAUCUUUUACCUUUAAACUACUAAUAUAUUCUCUCAAGUUAAACUCUGUUAACAUUAUUUUUGUCUGUGAAUGUCCUUGGUUUUUUUAAAAGUGUUUGUUUCUUGGUUAGUGCUCAUGGAUGACAAUGGCCAUGUAUAUGACCAUGUAAUGUUUCUAAUGGUUUGUGGUAUCAACUUUGCAUCAUUCUUUAAAUGUUAACUUUCAAGAGUAGAUUCAGCCACUACACCAGAACAAGUACCACUGGCAUCACAGUUCAGGCAAGUUCUUUCAUGGCUAGGGUGUUGUAUGGAAGAAAGUACAAAAAUCGUUUGUAGGAGAAACAAACAGGGAGCAGGUUAAGGCAGCAUAAGUAGGGAGAGGCAAAGAUGUGAAUAGUUUUGAUGGGAACAAGAAGCUUGACCUUAUGCAGUGGAAUGGGGGUUGGGGAGAGGUCCCAUGGUAAGGAAGAUGAUCUUAGCAACUGUGUUUUGUAUGGACAGAAAUGAGGUGAUGGUUUUGGGAGGUCAGAAAUGAGGAAUCAAGUUUGGAGAUGAGGGCUUGAACAAGAGUCUUGGCUGUGUGGACAGAAAGGAUAUUAGAAAUGUUAUGGAAGAAGCAGCGAUAUUUAGAGACAGCAUGGACAUGUGGGUCAAGGGAUAGCAAAGGAGAUAAAAAUGCAUCUCUCCUGCCCCUCUCUCCAAAGUUAGUGGUCUGAAGGUGGUUGUGUUUUCGUAGUGACAGAGGUGGUGAUUAAAAAAAUGUGUUCACUUUUAACUGGGAUGGAUUUAAGUUGACAUGAAAUACCCAAGAAGAGUUAUCAGAGAGACACAGGUGUGGACUGGAUUGAGGGAGUCAGGUCAGAAAUGGAAGGAUAGAAUUUCAAGUCAUCGAUAUAAUUGGAGCUGUAUGGGUAGAAGAGGUCACCCAAAGGGUAUAAAGAGAAGGGAACAUGAAAACUGUGCUGUCCAAAUGGGGAGUAGGGAGGAGUUAGGGGAGCAGGGACCACUGAAGGUACAACCACAGAGGUAGGUUGUACCUCUGGUUGGUAAGAGGGGCCACUGAAGGUACAACCACAGAGGUAGGAAGAGAAGAUUUGGAGGAGGAAGGCAGGGUAGACUGUGUCAAAAGCAGCUGAGAGGUCAGGGAAACUGAGGAUGGCAUAGAGAUCCUGAGAUCUGGUUGUGAAGAGGUCUCUAUUUAGUGUUUCAAAUGUCCGUAUUAAAAAGUUAAUAUGGCUGAACGUUGGCUAAUCACAUGAAGCAUUAAAGUGUGGUUCCAUCCGAAAUGUGACCCUGUAAAAAUACCAUUGUGAUGACUCACUUACUGUCUCUGACUUCUAGGUCAAAUCUGAUUAAUUUACAAGUGCAUAUUAUUUUUAAUAAUUACCAACAUUGCAAAUUCAUCCUGGGCUCCAAAAAUCUAGAUUACAGCCCAAGUAUGUGUUGAAAACAGCUGGAUAUGAUGAAAACAGUUGCAUUAGCAAUACCUAAACUGUAAAGACUCCAGAACAGCUUUGAUGGAACCUAUCCAACAGCCUGAGACUAUCAGCUGAAGGUCUCUCACGUGCUAACGUCAAUGCCAUGGGUGUCCCCCAUCACCUCGAUAAAUUCUUGGAUGAAUUUCCAUAUGGCAUGUGUGACAACAGUCACUGUGAACCCUUUGGAUCCAGCAAAAUAUACUGAGGUAUCAUUGGUUCUCUGAUGUGUAGCUGGAUAUGAAACACCUGAAUAUCCCUGGAUAUUUUUAAACAUGGCAGCAGUGACUUGAAAGGGUCAAAUAAUCAAUAGGAUUCACAACAGAAUACUUUGCAUUAGUCCCAAUAUAUCUGUUAUCAAGUGA